GUGGUGGCUCAGGGGUAGAACACUUGCCUAGCAUGUGUGAGGCACUGGGUUCAAUCCUCAGCACCACA
rnacentral:tRNA from 1 species